CAGUGUGAAGCUGAGGAACACAGGUCACUCACCAAACCAACCACUGAGAUGCCGACUCAGCAGAGCCGUCCCCACCCUGGCUGUGCGGGCUCACCCUCACCCAGCAGCAGCCCUGAGGCCCUGGCCAUCCAUCAAUGUCACCAGCUCUAUUCUAAAGGCUGCCUCUGGCUGCAGCUGCUUCCGCCACACAGAGGGUACCAGAGAUUGUGGUGGGACUAACCGGGCCAUGUUUAAAAGAAGGGACUUGACUUCCUCGCUGCUGUGCUGUUUUGCUCAGGAUCUCUCAGCGAACCUGGAGCUCACCUGUAAGCUGGUCGGGACUCUCAGAAAUCUCCCAGUCUCCCAAGCAUGAGACUACAAAGCCAUGCCCUGACACCCAGACUUUUAUAUGGGUGCUAGCACUUUACCCACCAAGUCAUCUUCCCAGACCUCAUGCAUCUGUCAAUUUAAGCUAUUCUCUCCUCCCCCCACCCCAAUCCUUCCUCUCCCUCUUGGGAAGAAAACCUAGCUUUGGGGGACCCAGCUGUUGAGUGAAAUUUCCAAGCUUCGAGCCUAGCUGCCCAUCCAUGCUUCUUCGUUAUCCUGCAAGGGAGGGGACAGGUCUCCUGGUCUCCUAACAUCACUCAGAAGGAAGUGGGUCUCCCAAUAAUGGCUUUGACAAGUUAAAAGCUUGAGUCACCUAGGCUUGGCCUGUUCCUGAGGAAAGCACGUUGCCCUCCAUCCCUCUUGUCCUCUGAGGGGUGGCCCCUGGGGCCUCCCAGGAGAGAUGACCAGAUUGGUUAUUUAACUGGACUCGGAAUCACAUCCAAAGUAAACAAACAAGCCUCUUGCCUAGAAUUUCUGAUUUUCCCAGACUCGGGGUCCAGAUCCUCCGAGCAAACUUAGUAUCCAGAGCCCGGUAGAAGGUGACCAACCUGGGGUCUCCAGUCUUCAGUGGCCAUACCACAACCCAGAAGACACUGAGGCCACGCCUCUAACCAAGCCCAGCAGAGCCCUUUUAAUUUGUGAUGACAUCACCUAGCCAUGUCUGGAGACAAGUCCUUGCUCACAGGAAGGUGACAUUUGUGGUAAUCCCAGAAUAGUCCCAAGAGCUGUUCUCCACCCUGAACCUCCUGGAAGCCACGCCUAUGAGGACAGAAAUCUCAAAGCCCCAGAGCCUUUGGUGCUCCCGUGGGAGCAUGAAGAAACUUCCAGAAGAGCCAUUAAGUCAUAGCAUCUAGGAUUCUGUGAGAAACAUUUGCACAGGGAAAGAAGGAAUUGAAAAAGAAAACCCUAAUGGAUUGGGAGGUAGGGAUUUUUCCCUAGCGCCUCAGAGGGAACCAAUCCCAGGACACUUUAGUGAGAUGUUCAUACUCCAAUGAAAGAGGCUUAGUUCCUGUCACUUGUAGUCCUGCUUAUAACAGCCUAGGAAAGCCAACAUGGUCACCACAAAGCACUGGUCUGUAUAGGAAAGACCCCAGCCACUACGUGGUCUACAUCCAAGCCAGGGAGAAACUAUUAUUACUGUUGCUGAGAGACCCUAAGCCAAGAACUCAGGGUCUGUCCAAGGUCCCAGCUGCCCAGAAUAGGGACAUUAUAAAGGGACCUUGGGCAAGGAGCUCUGUGUCUUUGUGCCUUAGAUUCUGUGGUCAUGGAGUACUCUGGUUCUUGUGCCACACUCGUGGGAUGUUCAAGGGUCGAACGGAGUUUGUAGAGAACUUCCUGGGGCAGAUCAUGGUAGGCUUGGAAGGCAGAGAAGCUGAGAUUGGCCUGUAAAACCAGGGCCGGGCUGCUCAGCAGAGUCCCUUGCAAGUCUCCUCAAGAGUCAACAGCUUUUGUAUGGCCAUGAGACAAAGAUUGGCUGUCCCUUCUUGCUCGGCUGACCCUACCCUGCAUAUGGAAAGCAAGGCCCAGGCUGGCUUAGGAUGGUGCUGCUAGAACCAUGUUCUCCCCUGCUAUCCCUCAGUGUGGGAAAGGAACACAGGGAAGAUGCAGGAGACACUGAUGAGAGAACAGGACAUGAGUUCUGUAUCAGUCCCUCUCUGAAGGCCUGCAGUUUUCCCUUCCAGCCAAGCUUUUGCUCUGAGUGCAUACAGGCUGGGCUCAGAGCCCUAUUCAGUGAUGUGAAGUGUUUGCAGAUUUCCAGGACCAUCCUCAUGGGAACACAGGAUGUCUCUAAGAGUAUACGAAUGCCUGAUGUCCAAGAGGGGGAAGCUUCAGCAUGCAGGAUGCCUCCACCAAAUCCACAGAGGUAUGUGGUACCCAGUGCCAGGAUGGUCUCAGCUCUGGGCUGGCACUUUUGGGCCAUUCCCACCUGCUGUUGUCUAUCCAUUCAAGGGGUUGCCAGAGCCAUGGAAGAAGUGCAGACAUAAGGCACACAUGUGCAGACAUACCUGUGAGACACUCCAGGACCCAGAAAGAGCCUACUUUAAAGCAAGCCUGUAAGUUAAGUACCACGCUCACAUACUUAGGGAGCUGUCCUUGGGUGUCAGAUAUGCUCUAAACAGAGUUCUUAUGCAUGCUAGUCAAGAGCUCCACCACUGAGCUAUCCACCACACCCCCUAGCCAUCCAAGACCCUCUCCCUCUCUCUCUCUCUCUCUCUCUCUCUCUCUCUCUCUCUCUC